AAUAGAUACCCAGGUAGUCCACGCCGUAAACGAUUAGUGCUAAGUGUUAGAGGGUUUCCGCCCUUUAGUGCUGCAGCUAACGCAUUAAGCACUCCGCCUGGGGAGUACGGCCGCAAGGCUGAAACUCAAAGGAAUUGACGGGGGCCCGCACAAGCGGUGGAGCAUGUGGUUUAAUUCGAAGCAACGCGAAGAACCUUACCAGGUCUUGACAUCCUCUGCCAACCCUAGAGAUAGGGCGUUCCCCCUUCGGGGGACAGAGUGACAGGUGGUGCAUGGUUGUCGUCAGCUCGUGUCGUGAGAUGUUGGGUUAAGUCCCGCAACGAGCGCAACCCUUGAUCUUAGUUGCCAGCAUUUAGUUGGGCACUCUAAGGUGACUGCCGGUGACAAACCGGAGGAAGGUGGGGAUGACGUCAAAUCAUCAUGCCCCUUAUGACCUGGGCUACACACGUGCUACAAUGGAUGGUACAAAGAGCUGCGAACCCGCGAGGGUGAGCGAAUCUCAUAAAGCCAUUCUCAGUUCGGA
rnacentral:rRNA from 1 species